rnacentral:lncRNA from 1 species
AGAGCCUAAUGGUUUGUUAAGUGUUGAGCUCUAUAAUAUCAUGCAUAAAACUUAUUAGGCAUCUAUAGGAUUAUAAUCUUGAUUACCUGAAUAAAAACCCUAAGUGUAGCUACUUUCAUCUAAGUGCCAAAACCCCAAUCAAAUCAAUCGAGCAACUGCCUUGCUCACAAACUUGCAACUUUCUAUUUAAUCAUAAUCAACCUAGCUUAAUCAAUCUGAUUAGAUUUAUUAGGUUCCCUAGCUUCCAGUGAAUUCGAUCCCUAAGUACUACAACUGAAACUCUUAUUCGAGAGAGUAAUUCACUAGUUAGGGUAAUUUGAGUGAUAUCAUUGUCAUAUUCAUAUUCAUCUUGAUCCAAAGUGUAAGAUAUUGUUUAGAUCUUAAAACAAGUAAGAAGUAAAAAACUUAGUUUUAUAUGGAAAAUACAAACUAA